rnacentral:rRNA from 1 species
UACAGAGGUCCCAAGCGUUUGUUCGGAUUCAUUGGGCGUAAAGGGUGCGUAGGCGGCGCGGUAAGUCGGGUGUGAAAUCUCGGAGCUUAACUCCGAAACUGCAUUCGAUACUGCCGUGCUUGAGGACUGGAGAGGAGACUGGAAUUUACGGUGUAGCGGUGAAAUGCGUAGAUAUCGUAAGGAAGACCAGUGGCGAAGGCGGGUCUCGUGGACAGUUCCUGACGCUGAGGCACGAAGGCCAGGGGAGCAAACGGG